UUGCCGGUACCGUAUGAAUAAGCAUCGGCUAACUCCGUGCCAGCAGCCGCGGUAAUACGGAGGAUGCAAGCGUUAUCCGGAUUCAUUGGGUUUAAAGGGUGCGUAGGCGGAAUAGUAAGUCAGGGGUGAAAGUUUGCGGCUCAACCGUAAAAUUGCCUUUGAUACUGUUAUUCUUGAGUACAUACGAGGUAGGCGGAAUGUGACAUGUAGCGGUGAAAUGCUUAGAUAUGUCACAAAACACCGAUUGCGAAGGCAGCUUACUAGACUGUAACUGACGCUGAUGCACGAAAGCGUGGGGAUCGAACAGGAUUAGAUACCCUGGUAGUCCACGCCGUAAACGAUGAUACUAGCUGUUUGCGAUACACAGUAGCGGCAAGCGAAGCAUUAAGUUAUCCACCUGGGGAGUACGUUGGCACAUGAACUCAAAGGAAUUGACGG
rnacentral:rRNA from 1 species